GCUCACCUCCUGCACCAGGAGCUGCCACAAACAGAACCCACAGCUGGGCCGGGCCAUCAGUGUGUGCCCAGCAGAGCUCUGUGCUCCCCUCAGAGCAGCUCAGAUGUCACCUGGAGCAAGCUGAAUGUCUCCUGAGCGACUUAAAUCCAUCACCAGCUCUGGAAACAGACUCUGAGCAAGUACCAGUCAACACUUUAAUUGAAAAUAAACGCUGUAAAUCCAGGGAAACCUCUCUGUUCAACAUCAAUUACUGGACAAACCCAAAGGUGUUUGAGCCCAGGUGAGCAUUCCCAGACGUGGUGGGCAUUUCUGCU
rnacentral:lncRNA from 1 species